rnacentral:lncRNA from 1 species
UUGUUUGAAAGAAUAGUAAUAAAGAGCACAAGAGAUAAACUGAGAGAAUUCAUAGUGUGUUUUUCCUUCUCAUCAGACUCAUUUAUAUAUAGUUAGGGCUACUUGGAGGUUAUGCCCAAGUUCUCCUAUUGUACAUUGUUUAGCAACUAAACAAAAACAAUAUUACAUCCACUACAUAAUUAAUAAUUUUUACGACGCUCUCCCUUAGAUGGUCACUUGUUAAUGAUCGUUGCCUCAUCAAAAGAUUGCUUGGAAAACUCAGUAGACCAAUGUUGCUUUGACAAGGAGCAAUUUGUGCAAUUGUACAGGACUUCCACCUCGAAAUGGUCCCUAAAUUUUGGCCCAUAUGGUUACAUUAAUCAACUAAGGGAUUUGAUUAU